rnacentral:ncRNA from 1 species
CAGCUUGCCCACCCUGAAAUCGGUUCAACCAGAGAUAGGGUCCAAUAGCUGGAAGAGAAUUACAUGUCUUGCAGUGUCCGGUACGCCCUCGGUAGCCCUUGAAAAUCUGGAGGACCAAGUACCAUCCAUGCCCCGUCGUACUCAUAACUGCAUCAGGUAUCCAAGGUCAACAACCUCUGGUCAAUAGAACAACGUAGGUAAGGGAAGUUGGAAAAAUAGAUCCGUAACUUCGGGAAAUGGAUUGACUCUGAGGGUUGGGCCUAGGGGUCUACAUCCUCAACCCGUGGGCUGUUGGUAGUUUGCCCAAGUUGCUAUCGCAGCAAGGGCAGGCAGUCGCGUGUUGAUUAGGCUACAGAUGUAGAAUGUCCUCUCACGGGGGAUUUUCCCUAGGCGGUGAACAGUCGACUCAGAACUGGUACAGACAGGGGGAAUCUAACUGUCUAAUUAAAACAAAGAAUUGCGAUGGUCCCUGGAGAUGCUGAUGCAAUGUGAUUUCGGCCCAGUUCUCUGAAUGUCAAAGUGAAGAAAUUCAACCAAGCAUUGGUAAACAACGGGAGUAACUAUGACUCCCUUAAGGUAGCUAAAUGCCUCGUCAUCUAAUUAGUGAUGCACAUGGAUGGAUUAACAAGAUUCCCACUGUCCCUAUCUAAUAUCUAGAGAAACCACAGCCAAGGGAACGGGCUUGGUAGAAUCAACAGGGAAAGAAGACCAUGUUGAGCUUGACUCUAGUAUGACUUUGCGAAAUGACUUGAGAGGUGUAGAAUAAGUGGGAACCGUUUUCGGUGCAAGUGAAAUACCACUACUUUUAACAUUAUUUUACUUAUUCUAUGGGGCGGAGACGGGGCAUUGCCCCUGUUUUUGGCCUUAAGACACAUUUCAACGGGUUGAUCUGGGCGGAAGACAUUGUCAGGUGGGGAGUUUGGCUAGGGAGGCACAUCUGUUAAAAGAUAACGCAGGUGUCCUAAGAUGAACUCAAGGAGAACUGAAAUCUCAUGUGGAACAAAAGGGUAAAAUCUCAUUUGAUUUUGAUUUUCAGUACGAAUACAAACCGUGAAAGCAUGGCAUAUCGAUCCUUUAGACUUUUGGAAUUUGAAGCUAGAGGUGUCAGAAAAGUUACCACAGGGAUAAUUGGUUUGUGGCAGCUAAGCAUUCAUAGCGACGUUACUUUUUGAUCCUUCGAUGUCGACUCUUCCUAUCAUUAUGAAGUAGAAUUCACCAAGUGUUGGAUUGUUCACCCACCAAUAGGGAACAUGAGUUGGGUUUAGAUCGUCGUGAGACAGGUUAGAUUUACUGAUGAACCGUGCCGCAAUAGUAAUUCAACUUAGUACGAGAGGAACCAUUGAUUCACACAAUUGGUCAUCACGCUUGGUUGAAAAGCCAGUGGUGCGAAGCUACCGUGUGUCAGAUUAUGACUGAAUGCCUCUAAGUCAGAAUCCACGCUAGAAGCGGAGAUUGUCACUACUCAACUAUAUCUUGACCUGUAGUAGGGGUGUUGGUUCGGCAAUCCUAGGGGCCCGUGUCACUUGCGAACCUCGGCCAGGAAGCGUCUCGAUCGGGGCAACUUUGAUGUUCAAUUUCAAAUCGUCAUUGAGAAGAAUCCUUUGUAGAUGACUUAAAUAUGUGAUGGGGUAUUGUAAGUGGCAGAGUGGCCUUGCUACCAUGAUCCACUGAGAUUCAUCCCUUCGUUGCCUCAAUUCAG